UUUCUCGCUUCGGUAGCAUAUAUACUAAAAUUAGGAUACAGUGAAGAUUAGCAUGGCCCCUGCACAAAGAUAGCAUAAAAAUUCGUAAAGCAUUCCAUGUUUUU
ensembl:snRNA U6 U6 spliceosomal RNA